rnacentral:rRNA from 1 species
CCAGCAAUGUAUAGCGAAAGCUAAUUGUAUCCAAAAUGGAUACAAUAUUGACUUUGUCAAAUAAAAUUCUAGGCAGAAUUAUGAUAAUGACAUUGUCUGCCUAUGUGUCUUGACCAAAUUACGUGCCAGCAGUCGCGGUAAUACGUAGAAGACUAGUGUUAUUCAUCUUUAAUAGGUUUAAAGGGUACCUAGACGGUAAAUCAAGCCUAAAAACUAAUUUACUAGAGUUACUUGUGAGGGGGCACUAAAGUACUGAUGGUGUAGAGAUAAAAUUCUAUAAUACCUUAAAUCAAUGGCACAGGUAUAGGCGAAAGCAUCCCCUUAUGUGAUAACUGACGUUGAAGGACGAAGGCUUUGUGUAGCGAACAGGAUUAGAUACCCUAGUAGUCGAAGCAGAAAAUGAUGAAUGUCAUAGAUUAGACAUGUUUAUUCUAUAAAUGAAAGUGUAAGCAUUCCACCUCAAGAGUAAUUUGGCAACAUUGGAACUGAAAUCAUUAGACCGUUUCUGAAACCAGUAGUGAAGUAUGUUGUUUAAUUUGAUGAUCCGCAAAAAACCUUACCACAACUUGAAUAUUUAUAUCUAUCUUAGAUAUUUUUACAAGCGUUGCACGGCUGUCUUCAGUUAAUGUCGCGAGACUUUGGUUAGUUCCAUUAUUAACGCAAACCCUUACUUUAUUUUUACAUAAAGUAGUUCCCCACUAUAUUGGAUAAGAUAACAGGGACUAAGACAAGUCAUCAUGGCCUUAAU